ensembl:lncRNA
AUUGUGAUAUUCUUUGUUCUCUGUUUUUGCAUUACUUUGCCCUAUUGCUGCUGUGUCAACCUGAAUUUCUCCUAAGGGGGGUAAAUAAAGGAAUAUCUUAUCUUAUCUUAUCUUAUCUUAUCUCUCUUAACUUCUCCACUAGAUGUCACUGAAUCCUACACACAGGUCAGUUAAGUGUUAGCAGAAAGUUAGCCUGCUGAACAAAAGAAAACAAAUGAGAAAUGAUAAACCAUCUACACAGCACCGUCUUGAAGGAUCACACUAAUAUCAGAGGUUAAAGGGUAACGACACUCUCAAAUUUUGUUAGAACCCUUCCUUUACCUGCAUAUUUAAAAAAUGCAGAGGCGUGUGGGAGCCAUGACUGUAGGCCUUGUGGCUAAUUAGGCCAGCAUACCUAUUGCCUUGCCUAUCAUGACACGGUUAGGAAGGGGACCAAGAAUUUGGCUAAACCAAACUUCUAUCUGACAAAUACAAGGAUCGGUAAAUGUUGGCUCUAGUCAUUCUCAUCUCUCUUGUGGUUGGUGGAGGUAUUUCUGCACCUGUGCUGAGCAACAGAGCUGAUGAAGGCACAGCAGAGUUGGAUUUGCUCUUUGACCCUGGCCUCCAGCAUGUUACUGGCCUCCUAACCGAUGAUUAUGGUGAGAGACCCCUUCCUCCUCCUCUGCCACCUGAUACUAGAAAUCCGUAUCAACCUAACCUAGAGGAUGAAUACUACUAACGGAAAGACAAAAGUUCCUGAUGCACAACAAUUAAGCUGAUCUGCCCUGUAUGGAGGAUCAGCUCCAGCAAAAAAAAAACAACAGCAUAUUCAAAUAGAAACAGAAAAAAAACUUUCUUCUGACAUACAAUCUUCUUGUAUGAACGUUGUUUGCUUAUUUUAUUUAUUAAUAUUUUAUUCAGUGCAUGUUUAGUUAUUUUCUUUAUAAAAACUUAUGAAAGAGAAGCUUAUGGUUGCAUACCUGCUUCAAAAAAGGCCUACAAUGAUGGCUAAAGCUACAGGGGGAGAUUUUCUAAAAAAAGGAAAUGUUUUUUCUUUGCAUUUAAAAAAAUCUCCAUUCAUAUGAAUGAAUAAAUAUCCUUGUGCAAAUGGAUCUGCAAAAAUUGUAGAAUGCAUGCCAGGCCUGUAGGCAGCGGUGUUACUUUGUUUAUGACUUUACUUCCUGUGGUUGCCCUCAAUCUAUGUAGAAGUGAUUAAGUAUCUGGUGCAUGUAAUUAAUGCAUGUCUCUGCUGGUCACAGAAAUGGUGCAGUGACUCUACACUUUGCUGGAAGAGUGUUAAUAAACUCAGAAGAGCCUGCAGCACAAACACAACACCCUAACCUAACCACACCUUUAUUUGCCAAACUGUUGAAUUGUUUAGUCUUAACUAAUAAGCUCUUAAAAGGUUACAAAUACUCACACACUUACAAACCAUCUGUAGUUGGUUUAUCCAAAUGAAGUGGAACCAAAUUUGGAUAUUGAUGAUGAUGAGGAUGAGUUCCAUGAUUUGGAACAAGCCUUAGUUAUGACUUUAUGUCCAAACUAGUUAAAUUAUACCCCAAGUAAUCAUGUGCAACUCAUUUUAGUAGCUGAUUUAGUUACAAACUAAUUAGUAGUUACUUUACACCCUAACAACAAUCCACAUAGCUGACACUUUCACAUGGCUGGUGCAACCGUUCAUAUCAUUCAGCUAACUCAGAACUCAGAGCCAUGUUUCAAUGGCAACCAUCAGUGACAUCCGCUGACCAGUGGCACCAAAUCACACUGGUCCUGAGUCGAAACCUUUAAUUCAUUUACUUUAUUUUAUGCAGCCAUCAACCUGCUUAGAUUUUCAUAUACACACAAACAAUCCUCUGUUGUUGUAGUAGUGAGCUACUUCAUUUAUAACAUUUUACUCACCAACCUAAGUGAUGAUAUGUAGGGAUGCCGUAACAUCACUAGAGUUGGAGUCAGGCAGCAACAUGGCCAGUCACAUGAUCCGAUGAGAAUUACAGUCAGGACCUCACAAGUACAGAGAUAUUAAUGUGUUUGUGCAUAUAUAUGUGCAAGUGAAGCCAAAUGUAAUAAUGACAGGACACCAUGAGAUCUGCAUUAAAAUUUUUAAAUAAAGAAUAGUUCACACCUAAAAAAAUUCCAAAAUAAAGAGAAAUUUCACAUACUACAUGUUGAAUCAAUACAAUUUAAUAUUUAUAAUUACAGAUAUUAAAUUAUUUAUUUAUAUAUGGCAUGUCUAUACACCCUUUGUAUAGCUCCCAUUACUUUACACUUCUCCUGUCUGCCUGA